rnacentral:rRNA from 1 species
AACGAACGCUGGCGGCAUGCCUAACACAUGCAAGUCGAACGAGACCUUCGGGUCUAGUGGCGCACGGGUGCGUAACGCGUGGGAACCUGCCCUUAGGUUCGGAAUAACUCCCCGAAAGGGGUGCUAAUACCGGAUAAUGUCUUCGGACCAAAGAUUUAUCGCCUUUGGAUGGGCCCGCGUUGGAUUAGCUAGUUGGUAGGGUAAAAGCCUACCAAGGCGACGAUCCAUAGCUGGUCUGAGAGGAUGAUCAGCCACACUGGGACUGAGACACGGCCCAGACUCCUACGGGAGGCAGCAGUGGGGAAUAUUGGACAAUGGGCGAAAGCCUGAUCCAGCAGUGCCGCGUGAGUGAUGAAGGCCUUAGGGUUGUAAAGCUCUUUUACCCGGGAUGAUAAUGACAGUACCGGGAGAAUAAGCGCCGGCUAACUCCGUG